UCUUUUUCUUUUUUUCCCCAUUUUAUUUUUCCCAAACCAUUUCUCCCCUACCCCGAUUCCCUUUAUUUUUCCCCCCAAUUUCCCCAAAUCGGCAGCCCCCACCCUAAAAAUCUUUUCAUCUUCUUCCUAAUUUUUUAUUUCCUCAAGUCACUGUAUUGACAAAGUGCCCCAAAGGAAAAUUUAUUUGGGUUUUUAUUUUUCGAAGUCACUGUAUUGACGAAGUUCCCCU
rnacentral:lncRNA from 1 species